rnacentral:rRNA from 1 species
GGGUUGUGAGGUUAAGCGACUAAGCGUACACGGUGGAUGCCCUGGCAGUCAGAGGCGAUGAAGGGCGUGCUAAUCUGCGAUAAGCGCCGGUAAGGUGAUAUGAACCGUUAUAACCGGCGAUACCCGAAUGGGGAAACCCAGUGUGAUUCGUCACACUAUCAUUAACUGAAUCCAUAGGUUAAUGAGGCGAACCGGGGGAACUGAAACAUCUAAGUACCCCGAGGAAAAGAAAUCAACCGAGAUUCCCCGCGAACGGGGAGGAGCCCAGAGCCUGAAUCAGCAUGUGUGUUAGUGGAAGCGUCUGGAAAGGCGCGCGAUACAGGGUGACAGCCCCGUACACAAAAAGCGCAGGUGCUGUGAGCUCGAUGAGUAGGGCGGGACACGUGGUAUCCUGUCUGAAUAUGGGGGGACCAUCCUCCAAGGCUAAAUACUCCUGACUGACCGAUAGUGAACCAGUACCGUGAGGGAAAGGCGAAAAGAACCCCGGCGAGGGGAGUGAAAAAGAACCUGAAACCGUGUACGUACAAGCAGUGGGAGCACCCUUCGGGGUGUGACUGCGUACCUUUUGUAUAAUGGGUCAGCGACUUAUAUUCUGUAGCAAGGUUAACCGUAUAGGGGAGCCGGAGGGAAACCGAGUCUUAAUUGGGCGUUAAGUUGCAGGGUAUAGACCCGAAACCCGGUGAUCUAGCCAUGGGCAGGUUGAAGGUUGGGUAACACUAACUGGAGGACCGAACCGACUAAUGUUGAAAAAUUAGCGGAUGACCUGUGGCUGGGGUGAAAGGCCAAUCAAACCGGGAGUUAGCUGGUUCUCCCCGUAAGCUAUUUAGGUAGCGCCUCGUGAAUUCAUCUCCGGGGUAGAGCACUGUUUCGGCUAGGGGCCAUCCCGGCUUACCAACCCGAUGCAAACUGCGAAUACCGGAGAAUGUUAUCACGGGAGACACACGGCGGGUGCUAACGUCCGUCGUGAAGAGGGAAACAACCCAGACCGCCAGCUAAGGUCCCAAAGUCAUGGUUAAGUGGGAAACGAUGUGGGAAGGCCCAGACAGCCAGGAUGUUGGCUUAGAAGCAGCCAUCAUUUAAAGAAAGCGUAAUAGCUCACUGGUCGAGUCGGCCUGCGCGGAAGAUGUAACGGGGCUAAACCAUGCACCGAAGCUGCGGCAGCGAACGUAUCACCCAAGACAACUUUACGGAGUUGACGAUUGACGGAGCGAAGCGACGUCAAAGCGUUCAUUAAAGUCGAGUUGGCUUAGGGAUACGUUCGUUGGGUAGGGGAGCGUUCUGUAAGCCUGUGAAGGUGUGUCGUGAGGCAUGCUGGAGGUAUCAGAAGUGCGAAUGCUGACAUAAGUAACGAUAAAGCGGGUGAAAAGCCCGCUCGCCGGAAGACCAAGGGUUCCUGUCCAACGUUAAGGGGGGACGGAGAAGGCUAUGUUGGCCGGGCGACGGUUGUCCCGGUUUAAGCGUGUAGGUGUGUGUUCCAGGUAAAUCCGGUUCACUUUAACACUGAGGCGUGACGACGAGGCACUACGGUGCUGAAGCAACAAAUGCCCUGCUUCCAGGAAAAGCCUCUAAGCAUCAGGUAACACGAAAUCGUACCCCAAACCGACACAGGUGGUCAGGUAGAGAAUACCAAGGCGCUUGAGAGAACUCGGGUGAAGGAACUAGGCAAAAUGGUGCCGUAACUUCGGGAGAAGGCACGCUGACACGUAGGUGAAGUGAUUUACUCAUGGAGCUGAAGUCAGUCGAAGAUACCAGCUGGCUGCAACUGUUUAUUAAAAACACAGCACUGUGCAAACACGAAAGUGGACGUAUACGGUGUGACGCCUGCCCGGUGCCGGAAGGUUAAUUGAUGGGGUCAGCGUAAGCGAAGCUCCUGAUCGAAGCCCCGGUAAACGGCGGCCGUAACUAUAACGGUCCUAAGGUAGCGAAAUUCCUUGUCGGGUAAGUUCCGACCUGCACGAAUGGCGUAAUGAUGGCCAGGCUGUCUCCACCCGAGACUCAGUGAAAUUGAACUCGCUGUGAAGAUGCAGUGUACCCGCGGCAAGACGGAAAGACCCCGUGAACCUUUACUAUAGCUUGACACUGAACAUUGAGCCUUGAUGUGUAGGAUAGGUGGGAGGCUUUGAAGUGUGGACGCCAGUCUGCAUGGAGCCGACCUUGAAAUACCACCCUUUAAUGUUUGAUGUUCUAACGUGGACCCGUAAUCCGGGUUGCGGACAGUGUCUGGUGGGUAGUUUGACUGGGGCGGUCUCCUCCUAAAGAGUAACGGAGGAGCACGAAGGUUGGCUAAUCCUGGUCGGACAUCAGGAGGUUAGUGCAAUGGCAUAAGCCAGCUUGACUGCGAGCGUGACGGCGCGAGCAGGUGCGAAAGCAGGUCAUAGUGAUCCGGUGGUUCUGAAUGGAAGGGCCAUCGCUCAACGGAUAAAAGGUACUCCGGGGAUAACAGGCUGAUACCGCCCAAGAGUUCAUAUCGACGGCGGUGUUUGGCACCUCGAUGUCGGCUCAUCACAUCCUGGGGCUGAAGUAGGUCCCAAGGGUAUGGCUGUUCGCCAUUUAAAGUGGUACGCGAGCUGGGUUUAGAACGUCGUGAGACAGUUCGGUCCCUAUCUGCCGUGGGCGCUGGAGAACUGAGGGGGGCUGCUCCUAGUACGAGAGGACCGGAGUGGACGCAUCACUGGUGUUCGGGUUGUCAUGCCAAUGGCACUGCCCGGUAGCUAAAUGCGGAAGAGAUAAGUGCUGAAAGCAUCUAAGCACGAAACUUGCCCCGAGAUGAGUUCUCCCUGAGACUUAGAGUCUCCUGAAGGAACGUUGAAGACGACGACGUUGAUAGGCCGGGUGUGUAAGCGCAGCGAUGCGUUGAGCUAACCGGUACUAAUGAACCGUGAGGCUUAACCUUACAACGCCGAAG